GAUGAACGCUGGCGGCGUGCCUAAUACAUGCAAGUCGAGCGAACGGACGAUAAGCUUGCUUCUCUGAUGUUAGCGGCGGACGGGUGAGUAACACGUGGAUAACCUACCUAUAAGACUGGGAUAACUUCGGGAAACCGGAGCUAAUACCGGAUAAUAUUUUGAACCGCAUGGUUCAAAAGUGAAAGACGGUCUUGCUGUCACUUAUAGAUGGAUCCGCGCUGCAUUAGCUAGUUGGUAAGGUAACGGCUUACCAAGGCAACGAUGCAUAGCCGACCUGAGAGGGUGAUCGGCCACACUGGAACUGAGACACGGUCCAGACUCCUACGGGAGGCAGCAGUAGGGAAUCUUCCGCAAAGGGCGAAAGCCUGACGGAGCAACGCCGCGUGAGUGAUGAAGGUCUUCGGAUCGUAAAACUCUGUUAUUAGGGAAGAACAUCUGUGUAAGUAACUGUGCACAUCUUGACGGUACCUAAUCAGAAAGCAACGGCUAACUACGUG
rnacentral:rRNA from 1 species